AUUGAACGCUGGCGGCAGGCCUAACACAUGCAAGUCGAACGGUAACAGGAAGCAGCUUGCUGCUUUGCUGACGAGUGGCGGACGGGUGAGUAAUGUCUGGGAAACUGCCUGAUGGAGGGGGAUAACUACUGGAAACGGUAGCUAAUACCGCAUAACGUCGCAAGACCAAAGAGGGGGACCUUAGGGCCUCUUGCCAUCGGAUGUGCCCAGAUGGGAUUAGCUAGUAGGUGGGGUAACGGCUCACCUAGGCGACGAUCCCUAGCUGGUCUGAGAGGAUGACCAGCCACACUGGAACUGAGGCACGGUCCAGACUCCUACGGGAGGCAGCAGUGGGGAAUAUUGCACGAUGGGCGCAAGCCUGAUGGAGCCAGGCCGCGUGUAUGAAGAAGGCCUUCGGGUUGUAAAGUACUUUCAGCGGGGAGGAAGGGAGUAAAGUUAAUACCUUUGCUCAUUGACGUUACCCGCAGAAGAAGCACCGGCUAACUCCGUG
rnacentral:rRNA from 1 species